UACGGAGGGGGCGAGCGUUAUUCGGAAUUAUUGGGCGUAAAGGGCGCGUAGGCGGCUGUACAAGUCAAAGGUGAAAUCCCUCGGCUCAACUGAGGAACUGCCUUUGAAACUGUACGGCUUGAGGCCGGGAGGGGGUAGCGGAAUUCCCAGUGUAGCGGUGAAAUGCGUAGAUACUGGGAGGAACACCAGUGGCGAAGGCGGCUACCUGGACCGGUUCUGACGCUGAGGCGCGAAAGCGUGGGUAGCAAACAGG
rnacentral:rRNA from 1 species